rnacentral:rRNA from 1 species
CGGCGUGCCUAACACAUGCAAGUCGAACGGAGCAUGGCGCAGAGGAGGGAAUUAGCUUGCUAAGGAACGAAUCAUGCCAAGUACUUAGUGGCGGACGGGUGGAGUAACGUGUGGAUAACCUGGUCCAUGCAGGGGGAUAGCAGCUGGAAACGGCUGAUAAUACCGCAUAAGCGCACAGUAAGGCAUCUUACGGUGUGAAAAGGAGCAAUCCGGGAUGGAAUGGAUCCGCAUCUGAUUAGCCAGUUGGCGGGGUAGAAGCCACCAAAGCGACGAUCAGUAGCCGGCCUGAGAGGGCGGACGGCCACAUUGGGACUGAGACACGGCCCAGACUCCUACGGGAGGCAGCAGUGGGGGAUAUUGCACAAUGGGGGGAACCCUGAUGCCAGCGACGCCGCGUGGGUGAAGAAGUAUUUCGGUAUGUAAAGCCCUAUCAGCAGGGAAGAUAAUGACGGUACCUGAAUAAGAAGCCCCGGCUAACUACGUGCCAGCAGCUGC